rnacentral:rRNA from 1 species
GACGAACGCUGGCGGCGUGCUUAACACAUGCAAGUCGAACGAAGUGGCGAACGGGUGAGUAACGCGUAAUCAACCUGCCCUUCAGAGGGUGACAACAGUUGGACACGACUGCUAAUACCGCAUAAUGAAGGAGGGGACUGCGUCGGAUUAGCUAGUUGGAGGGGUAACGGCCCACCAAGGCGAUGAUCGGUAGCCGGUCUGGGAGGAUGAACGGGCAAAAUGGGACUGAAGACCGGCCCAGGCUCCUAAGGGAGGCAUCAGUGGGGAAUCUUCCGCAAUGGACGAAAGUCUGGCGGAGGAAAGCCGCGUUAGUGAUGAAGGCCUUCGGGUUGUAAAGCUCUGUUAAUCGGGAAGCGGUACCGGAAUAGAAAGCCACGGCUAACUACGUGCCAGCCGCCGCGGUAAUUC